rnacentral:rRNA from 1 species
UACCAGCACCCCGAGUGGUCGGGACGAUUAUUGGGCCUAAAGCAUCCGUAGCCGGUUCUACAAGUCUUCCGUUAAAUCCACCUGCUUAACAGAUGGGCUGCGGAGGAUACUAUAGAGCUAGGAGGCGGGAGAGGCAAGCGGUACUUAGUGGGUAGGGGUAAAAUCCGUUGAUCCAUUGAAGACCACCAGUGGCGAAGGCGGCUUCCUGGCCUGUUCUUGACGCUGAGGCGCGAAAGCUAGGGGAGCAAACGGG